CCAACCCCAUCCCCCAAUAUGACUGCAUUACAAACAAGGCUAGAAAGACAACAACAAAAUUUAAGGACUGCACUGAAGAUGCGCAGGGAAAAAAAAUACCCAUCACCAAACAAACAAAGGACACACACUUUCAGGAGACCUGGGAAAGGAGUGCUUGCGGAAAAGCAGAACAGGAUGGGUGCUUAAGCAUGAGUCUUCAGGGAGCAAGAGUCAGCCAAAAUUCUGGACUGCAAGAGACCACUCAUGCUAAGAGGGAGCAUCACCUGGAAGGGACCUAAGGACCAUUCACAAGGAACUGAUAGCUGAGACAGAGAGACACAAGCUCAGAAAAAAGCCUUGAAGAAUGCCUGUAAAUCACAGUCUACUAUGGAGAACUUCACAGCCAUACCUGGACCAUUUCUAAUCCCAGGCUGUGCUUAUUCCAGUCUCGAUGCUUCACCAACAUCUCUAGCAGCAAAACAUUCAAUUGCCUGUCAGCAGCCUAUCAAGUACCCUGAUACAGUGAGUUUAUGCUCUCAGCAGGAAUGAUGGCCAGAAGGUUCCCACAGAUUUUAAGACCUUCUCCAGCAAGUUACAAUGUCAUGGACAAGUCUUUACAGAAUCCUGCAUUGAAAGCUCUGCCUCUGCUGUCACAUCAUCCCUGCGUGGCCAAGAGCUUAGCAAGCUUCACUGCUUUUGACAGGUCAUACCAAUUGUUCUGAAAAGACUGUGCCUGUUGAGCUUGUUUUAAAUAAUUUUCCUAAGUAACAGGAUUGAAUGCAGAAAGCUGGCAUUAAAAUAAACUUGCUAACUGGUGAAACCUAGUGCACCGACAUCACAGGAGGAGUGUGAGUGCUCACAGUAAGACCACUAGCAGGGGUUGUAGUGUUUAAUUCCAUGUGACCUCAUACACCAUACUUGUGUUUUUCUCACAUCUCCCCACACAAAUACACAUGUUUGUAGUUCUUGAAUUAAAGCACCAGUAAAAUAGAUUGAAAUUCAAAAGAACAGGAGAUUUGCAUGGCUUAAUCUCAGCUGGAGCUGCUAAAAUUUUAUGCUAGCCAAGGUUUGGAAAGAGAAGGCAUCUCAGCUUGGGUUUUAAACUGAUUCCUAACUAACAGGAGUUGCAGGGAAAUGUAUAGAAAGCCAGAAGGUGGGGAAGAAAGAAUGGGCUUCUGUGAGAGCACUGCCUAUAGCUGUUUUCCAGCAGAGAAGCUGGGAUUUCAGAGAGGGUCAUGUAAGACUUUUCAGCUAUGAGGCAACUGAGAGAUGUCGCAGAGGUGCUUGAAGUGGUAAAAGGGGUCUGAAAAAAGCAAAAAACAAUCAGCAACUCAGCACUUUUUUUUAAUGCAACAGCCAGAAGACAAAAGAAUGUAUUUGGAGUCAGCACCCCACCAAAGAGGACAUAGUUUCUGGUACAGUCUGUAGUCAAAACCACCAACCUCCUUACAAAGCAGUGUCACAGAAACCAAAACACUGAGGUAUCUGACGAGAAGGGUGAACAAGCUCAAGGGAUACAAAUCCCUAACAAUGUAGAAAUCACAUUCUUCUCAUGAAUCUCUAAGCUGAACUCUUCCUGAGCAUCUGCUGAUCUCCAUGACCACAUACAUGCUCUCCUGGGCUAAAGCUAAAGAGUCCAAACGAGUGCACUGAGUCACUAUACUCACCAGGCUUUGGCAUGGCCAUGGACUGGACAGACCUCAGGCUUGGUACCAUCCAGCUCUUGAGUCCUUACAACAACACACUCCACAGCUUACCCCAGGGAUUCACCAAAAGGCACCAGGGCACUGCAGGCUUCCUGUGCCAUUAUUCCCAGCUCUACAGGAUUUGUUUACUAUGAGCAGCCUCACAGGAAGUAGUCAGACUGGAGAGAGCAAAACUGAAAGGGUGCAGAUACUAUCAAAAUUAAUCUCCCUGCAUAAAGGCAGACUUCACAGAAUUUCAGUGUCUAAACAGAGUUCAGAAAUGAAGCAAAAGACUUGCUGCUUAGGAAAAAAAACUGGGAACAGUGACCAAAAAGACCUCAAAUUAAUGCCUUAGCAGAAGUAUCAAGCAGGUAAAAUUUUUUUCCAGUCUGGUCACCUUGUUUUAGACUUGCAGUAGAGUUUGUCUCCCCUUAAAGAAAUGUUUGCUUUGUUGCAUGGUUGAAGUUGUUAGGAAGGAGUCAGCUGUUAUACAGAAUUAAAUGCUUUUUAUUAUGCACAGGCUGACGCUGUCUGAGUAGUAACUGCAUGGCUGUGAACAGCAUAUUAAUUCAAAGUCUGUAUGAUUACACUUUAGCAUUAAAGGUCAUUCAGCAUAUU